rnacentral:snRNA from 1 species
AUCGCUUCUUGGCCUUUUGACUAAAAUCAAGUGUAGUAUCUGUUCUUAUCAGUUUAAUGAAAGGAGUCAUUAAACGAUGCCAAUUAAUUGCCACCUCUU